GGGGGAUUAGCUCAGUUGGUUAGAGCCAUUGCUUUGCAAGCAGUAGGUCAUCGGUUCGAAACCGAUAUCCUCCA
rnacentral:tRNA from 1 species